GGAGAGGUCGCAUAGCGGACUAGUGCAGCGGUUUUGAAAACCGCCAGGGGUGCAAGCUCCUCGUGGGUUCGAAUCCCACCCUCUCCG
rnacentral:tRNA from 2 species